CCUACGGGAGGCAGCAGUUGGGGAUAUUGCACAAUGGGGGGAACCCUGAUGCAGCGACGCCGCGUGGGUGAAGAAGCGCCUCGGCGCGUAAAGCCCUGUCAGCAGGGAAGAAAAUGACGGUACCUGAAGAAGAAGCCCCGGCUAACUACGUGCCAGCAGCCGCGGUAAUACGUAGGGGGCAAGCGUUAUCCGGAUUUACUGGGUGUAAAGGGGGCGCAGACGGCGUUGCAAGCAUGGAGUGAAAUCCCGGGGCCUAACCCCGGGACUGCUCUUGGAACUGUGUGGCUGGAGUGCAGGAGGGGCAAGUGGAAUUCCUUGUGUAGCGGUGAAAUGCGUAGAUAUCAGGAGGAACACCGGUGGCGAAGGCGGCUUGCUGGACUGUAACUGACGUUGAGGCUCGAAAGCGUGGGGAGCAAACAGGAUUAGAUACCCUUGUAGUC
rnacentral:rRNA from 1 species